rnacentral:rRNA from 1 species
GACGAACGCUGGCGGCGUGCUUAAUACAUGCAAGUCGAACGGAAAGGUCCUGCUCUUGUGGGGCGCUCGAGUGGCGAACGGGUGAGUAACACGCGAGUAACCUGCCCCUGACUUUGGGAUAACUCUAGGAAACUGGGGCUAAUACCGGAUAGGAGCUCCUGCUGCACGGGGGGGGUUGGAAAGUUUCGGCGGUUGGGGAUGGACUCGCGGCUUAUCAGCUUGUUAGUGGGGUAGUGGCUUACCAAGGCUUUGACGGGUAGCCGGCCUGAGAGGGUGACCGGCCACAAUAGGACUGAGAUACGGCCCAGACUCCUACGUGAGGCAGCAGUGGAGAGUAUUGCACAGUGGGCGGGAGCCUGAUACAGCAACGCCGCGUGCGGGAUGACGGCCUUCGGGUUGUAAACCGCUUUCGCCUGUGACGAAGCGUGAGUGACGGUAAUGGGUAAAGAAGCACCGGCUAACUACGUG